AGUGAACGCUGGCGGUAGGCCUAACACAUGCAAGUCGAACGGCAGCACAGUAAGAGCUUGCUCUUACGGGUGGCGAGUGGCGGACGGGUGAGGAAUACAUCGGAAUCUACUUUUUCGUGGGGGAUAACGUAGGGAAACUUACGCUAAUACCGCAUACGACCUACGGGUGAAAGCAGGGGAUCUUCGGACCUUGCGCGAUUGAAUGAGCCGAUGUCGGAUUAGCUAGUUGGCGGGGUAAAGGCCCACCAAGGCGACGAUCCGUAGCUGGUCUGAGAGGAUGAUCGGCCACACUGGAACUGAGACACGGUCCAGACUCCUACGGGAGGCAGCAGUGGGGAAUAUUGGACAAUAGGCGCAAGCCUGAUCCAGCCAUACCGUGUGGGUGAAGAAGGCCUUCGGGUUGUAAAGCCCUUUUGUUGGGAAAGAAAAGCAGCAGGUUAAUACCCCGCUGUUCUGACGGUACCCAAAGAAUAAGCACCGGCUAACUUCGUG
rnacentral:rRNA from 1 species